rnacentral:rRNA from 1 species
GUCUAUGGCCAUGCUACCCUGAACAAGCCCAAUCCCGUCCAAUCUUGAAAGCUAAGCAGGGUCAGGCCUGGUUAGUACUUGGAAGGGAGACCACUGUAGAAGACCAGGUGCUGUACAUG